CCUACGGGCGGCAGCAGUGAGGAAUAUUGGUCAAUGGGCGAGAGCCUGAACCAGCCAAGUCGCGUGAGGGAGUACUGCCCUAUGGGUUGUAAACCUCUUUUGUCGUGGAGCAAAAGCCGGACGUGUCCGGCUGUGAGAGUACCCGAAGAAAAAGCAUCGGCUAACUCCGUGCCAGCAGCCGCGGUAAUACGGAGGAUGCGAGCGUUAUCCGGAUUUAUUGGGUUUAAAGGGUGCGCAGGCGGAUUUUUAAGUCAGCGGUAAAAUCGUGGGGCUCAACCCCAUCCAGCCGUUGAAACUGGGGAUCUAGAGUGUGCGAGAGGUAUGCGGAAUGCGUGGUGUAGCGGUGAAAUGCAUAGAUAUCACGCAGAACCCCGAUUGCGAAGGCAGCAUACCGGUGCACAACUGACGCUCAGGCACGAAAGCGUGGGUAUCGAACAGGAUUAGAUACCCGAGUAGUC
rnacentral:rRNA from 1 species